UAAUGAAUAUGACAAAUGGAUACCAAAAUAAAUAAUUAAUAAAAAUUAUAACUUUUUAGACCUAGACUGUGUAAUAGAUACAGAAAAAACAAUACAAUUAUGGAUAUGAUAUAUGACAAAAAAAUUAUUAGAUAAUAAUAUAAAUAUAACAGAUGCACCGGAAUAUAUAGAAAGAACACUAAUAGGAUCAGUAAAACUAUGGUUUUCAAACUUAACUGAAAAUAGCAAAAAAGUAUUAAGAACUAAUAAACCUAUAGAAGGAACAUCAUCAACAACAACUAAACUAACACCUGUAGAACUAUUAAAAAAAUAUGAAACAGCCAUAAAAGAUGAAUUUGGUAGUACGACAGUACAUAGUUGAUCUUUGACUCACUUUUUGAUAGGUUAAAUCUUAACGGGAAAUAUGCUAGAGAAAGAUGAUUUACUCUUUAAAUAUUAAUGUAAUAUAACCUACGAGAUACACAAAAAAGAUCGGCAUUUUUUAGUAUGUUUUAAAAGUUUGAUAUGUGAAGAAAAUUUUAGGAAAAAUUUGGUGAUACGGAAAAAAAUAUGCCAGAGAAAUAUAAUUUUUGUCGUAUUUUAGAAAUUUGGAUAUGGAGAUAGUAUUUGCUUUGAAAAGUUGGUUGAGAGAUGGGUACAAGAUCAUAUAUAAAUAAAAAGCAAAGAUCUUUUGUGGAUGACAAUAAUAAUAGUUUAUUUAAUUAUAUAAAAGCCUGAUAUGAUUGUUAAAUGAGUUAAAUAAUCAGAGUUAUCUUACAAUAAUUGAGCUAAUAUCUAAAUUAGAAGAACACUUUUCAUCAUCUAAAUGAAAUAAUCUUUCAUAUAUAGUAACUUUAAUUGCAACAUUAUAUAGUUUCGUGUGUAAAUUUUUAUAUUGAUGUGACAUACACAUGUAAUGUGUGUACAUUAACAUAUGAAGUUGGACUUGAAUAGUUCAUCAUGUUGAGUCGGAAUUUGUGAAUAAUUAUAUUACUAUGCUCAUAUAUAAUGUAAUUUUUUUUCCUUUAUCGUAUUCUUUAGAGUAUGUUUUUGUGCAAUGCCAAUAUAAUUUGACUUUUGAUAUUAAUAAUGAAAGUUUGUUCAUUACAUUUUAUUUUGCUUCUUAAAAUUGUUAGUGUGGUGAUGCAUUAUCAUGCUCCUUUUUAAGUACACCUUUUAUCGUUAUAAAGUUUUGUUUUCUUUUUUAAAAGUUUAUACUUAAUAAUAUAAAAGACACAUAAUUUUUAUAUAUAUAUUUUUUAUUAAUUACUGUUAUAUACACGUGCAAUGUUACCAGUUUAGAGUAUUAAUACCUACUCAACCAUGUAUUUUGUUUGUAAUGAAAGUAAUUGUAUGAUAUGCAUUAUUAAGACUUAAAGAUAAGAUCUAUAAAUUAAUUAUUAGACCGUAUAUGUUGUAACGGUCAACAACUCACACAUUUAAAAUACCAAAGUAGGAAAAUAGAGGAUAUUACGAUGAAUGUAUGAGCAUACUAGGAGAGAUAGGGUUAGGAAAAAGGAUAUUUCAAAGAAGUUGAAAGUCGCUCCAAUGAUGAUUAAUGUAAGAGGCAAAAUUGAGAUAGUUCGGACAUGUGAAAAGAAGACAUGUAGAUGUCCAAACUACCUACCUAACAUUGUAUACGUUAUAUAUAGUUUACGUUAUGCAUGUAUAAUCAUCUAAAAUGCCUUCAAUUUUGAUAAAAAUGUAGAAUCCUGAGAAUAAAAACAACUCUAUAUUAAAAACAUGGUUCAUUAAUUUGGACCAUCUCAACUUACAGAAAAAGACUAAAUAAGUAGUAUAAUUUUAAAUGAAAAAUAUAUUUUUGACCAUAUCUAAUUUUGCUCCUUAAUUAUUAAUGUAACGGUGAUUUAUCUUGUUCGUUUUUAAUUAACUACAAUAUUUUAUCUUCAAAAUUUUAAUUUAUUUUUAUAAAAUUAUUGUACUUAAUAAAAUAACAUGGACACAAUAUUUUAUGUGUAUAAUUAAUAUUUGAUACACAUCUAACGCGUACCCUGGACUAGUUUAACACAAAUGUAAAUAAAUAUUAUGACUUUUAUUUCAAAUGUCUUAUUUGAAUCAUUAAUUAUUGACACUUUACCCCAAAUAUUGGUAAUCUAAAUCUCUCCAAAUUGUUUCUUUAUUCUUUAAAUUGCGUUUAACUCUAGAAACAAUUACCGGAUGCAUCAAUAUUACUUAUUAGUACUAGAUAGUAAUUAUUAAUUUUUUUUUGAAUUUAUUUUUACAAUGGUUUCAAUAUUCUGGUAUCUGGUACACAUUUUAAUUUCUUUUGUAUCCGAUACAUAUGAUAUUUUAUAUUUAUUAAAAAAUAUCAAAUUAUCAAUUAGCAUAUCAAAAUAUACAGUUACAUAUACAAUACACAUAUUAUUAUAACACUAAUGAAUAGAUAAAAUAGUAGUAGUACAAAACUAAUUAUUUAGACGGAUUCACUUUUGCUCCAUUUUGAUUGAAAUGUCCUUUUUUGUGUAGUUAAUUAACGAAGUGAAGUGCUUGUACUUUCUUUUAAAUAUUUCUAUAAGUGUAAGGUGUUAGUAUAAUAUAAUUGAGACAUUUCAGAAAAAGUCAAAGUCAGACUUCUCUAUUAAUAUAUGAGUAUAUUUAGAAGUCGAAGUCACAAUCCUCUAUUGUAUAAAUAUGUGUAAUUUAAAGUUAAACAAACUAUGAUUACCGAAUAACUACAAUGCAAAAGAACAAAAUCAAACUUUAAAAUAUCGAAUUACUUUGAUAUGAUAAUAAUAUAAAAGAAUUUAAACAGAAAAUUAAAAUUAUCGGACAAAAGUUUUCAAUACUAUAGCUUGCCCACCCCUAAUUAUGAGUGACUUAAUUAUUUUGAGAAAAAUAUAUUUAGAAAAAAUUGGUGUAUAAUGUUUAGUCAAUUUGUUUUGUUAGGAGAUAAUUGAUUUCAUUUGCAAAUAAAACUAAGUUGCAAAUAAAACUAAUAUUUUAAAAAAAAAAAAAAAAAAAAUUUUUACUGUUUCAGGGAUAAAUUCUGGUUUUUACUAAUUUUAUCUCAGUUUUGUGUAGCAAAAACAAGUUAUCAUUUGUUAAUUUAGAAGUUUAUUCGCGUGGUGGUUCUAUCUAAAACAGACAAAUUUAUGAGUAUGAAAUUUUAAAGGAGUGCUCCCUGCAAUUUUUUUACGAAUUUUAUGGUCAAGUUUUGUAAAUUGGGAUAAAACUUAAAAAGGAAAAGGAACAAAAGUGGAAUAUAUAAGCUCCUUUGAAAUUGGACAAAAAGAAAAACUCAAACUUUUGACUUCCAAACCUAGGUUACAAACUACCACAAACGGGGGCAAACCAACGAGUCCUUCAAGAUUUCAACAGUUCGAAAAUAAAAUUGAUCAUUAUAUUUUGUUUAAUCUCCAAAUUUUCUUCGUCACCCUUUAAAUUUAUUUUAUAUAUAUUUGGUUUCUUGCCUCACCGGUUUCACUUUAAGAUGACAUAGUAUUUAGGAAUUUUCUUUUUUGCUUCUUUGUUAAUAAAUUUGUAACAUAUUAUUGUUCGAAUAAUUCUACUAUAUAGUAACUAACAUAAACUUAUUUUAUCAUAUUAUGAUUGUUAGAAAUUUAUGAAUUUAGCUAUUAAUAAUCAUAAAUGAAAAUAUGGUAGGUUUGAUAAUUCCGGGCUUUGUUCAUCCAUAACUUUUCCUUUGAAAUAUAGUUGUUUUUAUUAAAUAUUCAAAAGUCAUUUGUGUACAAGAGAGUUGGGUAAUUCUGUUGACUAAUAGUUUGAAAGAAUUUGAUUAGAAUUAUUGACGUAACUUAUUUGAUGAAUUGUCUUUGAGGAAGAUUAGUUUGUUAGAGAAGUCUGAGCAGCCAGCGACAUUAAGAGUCUCCUAGAAGUAUGUUUUUGUAGGUAAUUUUGUGCACGAGGUAGUUUAGACACCUCGAGAGAACUUAACCAUGAAGAGAAUGUUAUGCAACGCAACGCAUGAUUUUUGAUCUUGUUAGCAUUGAUGUCAUGGCUGGAUAGCAAAUUGAGAUAUCGUAAUGGCCUUAUUGUGAAACAUCCGAGUUAAUGUCCAGAUGUUCUGCUUGGUUCUCUUCUGUGUGAGAUGGUACAUAAACGUAUAACAAACAUAUUGGAAGUUUCACAAUUUCUGUUAGAGUGACACAAAGAGCUCGUCUUUCUGAGUAACCUUUACCACACUUUUCGGCUGUACCCCGCAAAAGUUUGGGCUGCUCGAGAACACGUAUGUGACACAGUAUAUAUAAAAGGGGAAAAGGGAGUUUAAAGAUGAACUGCUUUUUUGCUAGAGCAUUGUAAUUAUUGAAUACAUAAGAAAUUAUAAAUAUUAUAUAACAAACUGAAAUUUUGAUGAAUUAUGUGAAAAAUAAAUUUUUGUGUAGUUUGGCUAUUUUACUCCUCCCCAUAGUUGCAUUGUCGUAUUUUUGGAGUGUAGGGGUGAUUGGCACGAUUUUCAUUGCAUUUUGGUGCCAUUUAUGUGAUUUUGUGAUUUUUUGGCGUCUUUGAGAGCCUUAUAAUUGAUUUCACUUGAUAUCUUUUGAUCUAUACGACGGAUGACAUAACGUACUAUGCCAACAGAUAUGAAACAUCGAUUUUAGGGUGGUAACAUGGUUGGUGUGGUUUCAUAGAUUUUAAAUCUCAUUUCAAUCCUCGGUUUGAUAAGUUGUGAUUUGGGAUUUCCUUUUUCGAUUCGGAACUCUUAGUCGAGCUGAUGGCGAGAUCGGUCCUCUAGAACCGCAAAACGGUUCGGGCGGAAUCAACAUUGUGAAUUUUUUUUUUCAAUAAUCUGAUAUCGCAUUGAGUCCAGAGUCAAAUUUGAUAGGGUAGCAUAAUUUGUUUGCAUUCACCGAAUUUCGGAUGAAUCUCAAGGGGCCCGCAGUGACUUGAAAUUAUACAAAGUCCACAGCUAGUGCACCUAUUUUCUGGUGCACUGCGAUCACGAGCCUUGGGUCGUAAUCAUGAUUAGCCAUCAGGAGAAUAAUCGAGAAUCUAUUACAUAUCUGCACCCCCCUACAAUUGGUAUCAGAGCCCAGAUAUUCAAAAAACACGGAAGUGAGAUAUAUGAUAGAGCUAUUGUUAGAAUUAUUAGAAGAGUUAUUGUUAGAAUUAUUAUUGUUAGAGUUAUUAGAUUUUACCUAUAAAUUAUUAAAUUAACUAUGCGAAGACCAUUUAAAAAUAGGAAAGCUUUUAGAAAAAUCAAAGAAUCUUUUAUUAGUAAUUAUUCAGAAUAUAUAAGUUUAAAUAAAACAAAAGAAAACCCACAAAGAUUAGCCUACUUAAUUACAUUAAUAUCUAGUAUUGAAUCAAAAUUAAUAAUCCAUUUAAAAUCUAGAAGAAUGAAACACAUACUACCUAAUUAUAAUAAAAUUAGAUUUAGAUAUCCGCCAAGAUAUUAUAAACAUGGUUUAAAUGAAUAAAGUACAACAAUACAAAGAAUUAAAACAAAUUAUUUCUGAAAAACGUAAAGAAUUAAAAAUAAGAAUAGAAAGACUAAAUUAUAAUAUAUUUGCCGGAGUUAGUAAAAAUUCAAUAAAUACACAAAAAGAUGAAAUAUCAAAAUUAGAAUCACAAAUAGAUAGUUUAGAAUAUAUAUAUCAACAUGAACUAUUCACAAUAAAAUGAACAAAGAAGAAUUUAUAAUAGAUGAAAAAAUAUAUGAAAACCACGAAGGAUCAAAAAUAAAAAUAGUAUUUUCUAAUCUAGGACGAAGAUAUAAGAAAAUAGGUGAACAUUUAUAUCUAAUGUUAGAAAAAGAAGAAUUAAAAUUAGAAGAUAAAUUAACAGCAAUGGUAAGAAUAGAAAAAGAAAAUGAAGAGAUAGAUAGGAAAAAAGAAAUAGAAAAAAUAAAACAACAAACUACGGAAGAAAUACGAAAAAUAGAAGAAACCAAAAAUAGUAGAAUUGCUGAAUUAGAAAAAGAAUUACAAAUGUUAAAAGAACUGUAUGAACAAAGACAAAAAGAAAAAGAAGAAAAAGAUAGAGAACAGAAAUUACUAAAUGAGAUAAAUCAAUUUAAGGAAAAAUUAGAAAUAAAAAAUGAAGAAUUAGAAAUAAAUAAUAUAGAUAUUGAAGAGACAGAUAAUUAUGAGUCCGAAGAUAGUGAAACAUACACAGAAAUAUUAACAAAUACAAAAAAUUUAGAAAUCAAUGAAGAACAAAAAAUUUAUGAGGAAAACUUAGAAAAUACCCACACAGAAAUAAAUACUCUUGAUAAAAAAGAAAAUGAAAAUAUAAUACCUAAAACAACAGAAAUAAGAAAACCUAUAUAUUAUAAGAAUAAGUUUAAAAAAUAUAAUGAAUAUGAUAAAUGGAUACCAAAACAAAUAGUGAAUAAAAAUUAUAACUUUUUAGAUCUAGACUGUGUAAUAGAUACAGAAAAAACAAUACAAUUAUGGAUAGGAUAUAUGACAAAACAAUUAUUAGAUAAUAAUAUAAAUAUAACAGAUGCACCGGAAUAUAUAGAAAAAACACUAAUAGGAUCAGUAAAACUAUGGUUUGCAAAUCUAACCGAAAAUAGCAAAAAAGUAUUAAGAACUAAUAAACCUAUAGAAGGAACAUCAUCGACAACAACUAAACUAACACCUAUAGAAUUAUUAAAAAAAUAUGAAACAGCUAUAAAAGAUGAAUUUGGUAGUACGACAACAAU
rnacentral:lncRNA from 1 species